UACAGAGGGUGCGAGCGUUAAUCGGAAUUACUGGGCGUAAAGGGUGCGUAGGUGGUUUAUUAAGUCAGAUGUGAAAUCCCCGGGCUUAACCUGGGAAUUGCAUAUGAUACUGGUGAGCUAGAGUGUGGAAGAGGGAAGUGGAAUUUCCGGUGUAGCGGUGAAAUGCGUAGAUAUCGGAAGGAACAUCAGUGGCGAAGGCGACUUCCUGGUCCAUUACUGACACUGAGGCACGAAAGCGUGGGGAGCAAACAGG
rnacentral:rRNA from 1 species